rnacentral:sRNA from 1 species
GAUCGAAUCGUUUCUGAGUUCUCUCGGACAAGCUGUCGGACUCGGAAAUAUCUGGAGAUUCCCAACAACCGCUUAUAAAAAUGGAGGUUUAUCAUUUCUCAUCGCAUACGUUGUAUGUGGAAUACUGUUCGCCGUUCCAGCAAUUCACAUGGAAUUCGCUCUGGGACAGUAUGCAGCCAAGUCGCCGCCUGCGGCCUUUCGAAGAAUGAUGCCUAUUUUGGAAGGAGUCGGAUGGAUGACUUGUCUAGUCGGAGCGAUCAUAGGUGUCUACUAUAUGAUUGUCAUCUCGUGGAUAGUUUUGUACCUUUUCAAUAUAAUAUACGCUACCAAGAUCAGCAAGUGUAAUAAUGAUUGGAACAAGAAUCGAUCGACAAUCUGUUAUGAAGGUGUCAAGCAGAAGUUAUGCAGCGGAUAUAUGCUGAAUAGUUCUCUGGUGAUGACCAAUUUGACUAGAAAUGCGUCAGUGCACAGCAAAAUGAUGUAUAUUGAUGGAAAGUGCCAGAACGCGACAAAUAUGAAGUUGGCAGUCGGGACUGAGCAGUUUUUUAC